GAAUAGGAGAGAUUGGUACGUGGGGGAGGAAUGAUUGCUGUAUAACUUAUAUACUAAAAUGAUGCACUUGGGGAUUCUUCAGGAUGAUGAAAGACACUAAGGAAAUUCAAAUUACUCAGUAAUGUUAUGAUUAUAAAUUACAGAUUGAUCAAAGACAGAAAGGAAUGAGUAGGACAGAGAGAAUCACAGCCCAGUGUUGGGAAGUCACACACCGCUCCACUCUUCUAGACACCAAAGGUUUUGGUAUCAAGCAGGAAACAGAACCUACGAGUAAGCUAGGUAAAGAUUCCACUCUGGUCAUUUGAUUGGAAUGCUGCAGAAAAGACCUGAGACACCACAGACCACAAAAAGAAGACUUUUGAAGGACUCCUAGAUUUAUCAACCAAUGACUCAAGCCCCUGGGAGGCCGAACCAUCCUACUUUCCACAGAAGCCUGAGACUGGGGAUUUCAUAAAGCUGGUCCAUACUCUCGAAGAAUGAGUGUGUGCAGGUGAUUUCAGUCAACAGCAGAGCCAGAUCGGGACAAUGAUCGGGACAAUUCCGCUGCUGCUAGGAGGUUUCGUGCAACUUUGUUUUAAAAGUUGGGGCUCUAGCCUGUGUUUCUGCUGUUGAGGCCAAUCACCAUCAUUACCAGCGUCUUUGAAGCUGUCUCUGUUUCUUCCAAAGGAAAAGAAAAACUGUCCAUCCGCCUUGUAACGUGUGUCAGAAUUGCCCCCCACUUUAAGGCUGGAUAAUAUUCCGUUGUAUGUGUAAGCCACAUUUUGUUUGCCCAGCCAUCUGUUGGCUGAGUCCCGGAGUUUUUAAAAAAAGUAACUUUAUUGAGAUAUAGUUUCCAUUUAAUAAAUUGUAUCCAUUUAAAGUGUAUCAAUUGACGUUUUGACAGAUAUAUACACUUGUGAAAUAAUUGCCUCAGUUGAGACACAGGACGUUUAGAUCAUUCUCAAAAGAUUUAAACUGAUUGUCUUUUGAUAGUUUUGUGACAACUGUUAGGAUAGUUGGUGAAGCAGAUGCUGUAAGUUGCAUACCCAACAUCCAUUUCCCCUUCCUCUUUUCUCAGAGCAUCUGUCGUACUGGAGCAUUCAACACAAUGUUUGACACCACUUCAAGGGAAGUUCUAGCUGAGGGAUUCUGAUUAUUUUAUUUUAUUUUAUUAUUUUUAUGUUAUAAGAAGUUUGAAUUUCUUAUCCGUCAGUUAGUUUGUUUUUUGAUCUCAGGAAUAGAACCCAGUGAUUCAUCCCUUACAUAUAACACCCAGCGUUCAUCCCAACACGUGCCCUCCUUAAUGUCCUUCACCCAUUGAGCCCAUCCCCCCACCCCAAAC